CCCUUAGAGUUUGAUCCUGGCUCAGGAUGAACGCUGGCGGCGUGCUUAACACAUGCAAGUCGAGCGAAGCGAUUUAAAUGAGACUUCGGUGGAUUUUAAAUUGACUGAGCGGCGGACGGGUGAGUAACACGUGGAUAACCUGCCUCACACAGGGGGAUAACAGUUAGAAAUGACUGCUAAUACCGCAUAAGCGCACGGUACUGCAUGGUACAGUGUGAAAAACUCCGGUGGUGUGAGAUGGAUCCGCGUCUGAUUAGGUAGUUGGUGAGGUAACGGCCCACCAAGCCGACGAUCAGUAGCCGACCUGAGAGGGUGACCGGCCACAUUGGGACUGAGACACGGCCCAAACUCCUACGGGAGGCAGCAGUGGGGAAUAUUGCACAAUGGGCGAAAGCCUGAUGCAGCAACGCCGCGUGAGUGAAGAAGUAUCUCGGUAUGUAAAGCUCUAUCAGCAGGGAAGAAAAUG
rnacentral:rRNA from 1 species